rnacentral:tmRNA from 2 species
GGGGAUGACAGGGUUCGAUAGGUGGACCUAUGUUAUCUACUAUAUGCAUGUCGAGGUGGUAUACGAUCCUCGUAAAACCCGUAUACAAUUCUCAAGUGCAAACUUGGUAAGUCGAGUGAAAAACGCAGUAGCGCAAGCUUUCCGCGUCCCAACAUUCGCAUCUGUAGUGGCCUAAUAGGCCUGCUACCAUCAUUCCCAUGAUACUCGGUAAUGGAUGAAUGGUGUCAACCUAUCGAGUGUAGGAUAUAUGUGCUUUCUGUCGCAUAUACUCGAAAUAAAUACAGGAUCAGUUGAUUGCUAUUUUGCUGAUUUCUAAGCAAUCAAUAAAACACCAAACCAGCUAUACAUGUAGAUUGUGGUGGUAACCCAUCUAGACCCGGGUUCAAUUCCCGGCAUCUCCACGA